UUUCCUAGUUGAAUUUAACUUUUUACACAUACAUCUUAGGAAUUCCUUAUAUAUUCUAGAUUCAAACGUUCUGUCAGGCAUGGGAUUUACAAAUACUACUUCUCCUCAGAGACGCACAGUGCUUUAUGCUAUUAAAAUGCACACAAGGAUGCUCAGUGUUUGGGUUUUCAUAUGCAAGUCAGCGAGGUGAAACAGCAUCCAAACAUCAUUACUAUUGUUCCACUUUGAGUAAGUUAAGACAGGAAAGUUCUUUCCCUUCCAGGGCAACCAGAGAAGGAUUAUCAGAUACUUGGUGAUGAUCUUUGUGGUCCUUUGUGGUGUUGGAGAAUUCACAGAGCUGUAAGAAAGAAUGACUAAAAGGUAUACCUCCAUCCAAUGGACAAAGGAUCCCCUUAGGAUUCUUGUGCACUGACUUUUAAUUGCAUCUGAAUUCCCCCCAAACAAACUCAGAUGUAAGGAUAUGAGCCUUCCCGAUGUUUCCAGACUCCCCCAGGUUUGCUCAAGACACUAGAAAACGAUGUGUUCCCUGAGCUGAGCAUUGUUUUCAGACACUGACUUCAGGGCAGUCAUCUCACUGUUCACGGACUCCUCAGUUCUGCAGGUAGAGAUCAAGACCAGCUGCAUUCUGUUGAUCGGAGAUGAAAACUGGGCCAUGGGGUGGGGGAAUAGUGACGCAGAACUGCUGCCGUUUGAGAAACAGGGAGUUUACUGACCUCACUCUGAAGGCAGGAAGCCAUGGCUCCUGUUACAGUGAUGAAAUACUCCAAUCACGGAAACGGACAGAAAAUAACACAACCGCCCCCAUUUACCACAGGACCAGCACAGGCCAUGUCCUCCGCCCGAGUGGAAACCAGCACAAGCCACGUCCUCGGCCCAAGUGGAACAAGCCGACUUUCUUUCAGGUGGAAGGAACACCACUUGCAGGGGAAUGCCGUGUUCUGCAGGACUGGGGCCCAAUGGGACCAGCCUCAAGGACCACAGGUGGAGGGAACCGUGGCCCACACUGAACAGAGGUUUUUCCCAAAUGGCAGCAAAUUGAAAUAGUUAACAAUCAGAGGAUAAUUAGCAAAGCAUUCCUCAGUUUUUGAGCUCUAAUAGGACUGUAUGAAAUGAUGAAACUUAUUUUCCAACCUUGAAAGUAUUAAGCAGAGACAGCAGACGAAAAGUGUCCUCCUCAUCAUCACAAAUGAACUGAGCAAGGAAAAGAAGGAACUGAGAAAACAAAAGAGAUGCGACAGCACGGAUUUCAGAGAUCCAUUUACUUAAGAGUGCCAAUACCUAUGUAAUAUAUUUAUAUUAAAAUGCUAAGAUAAUAA